UACAGAGGGGGCAAGCGUUGUUCGGAAUUACUGGGCGUAAAGGGCGCGUAGGCGGCCUUCUAAGUCGAACGUGAAAUCCCCGGGCUCAACCCGGGAACUGCGUCCGAUACUGGAAGGCUUGAAUCCGGGAGAGGGAAGCGGAAUUCCGGGUGUAGCGGUGAAAUGCGUAGAUAUCCGGAGGAACACCGGUGGCGAAGGCGGCUUCCUGGACCGACACUGACGCUGAGGCGCGAAAGCUAGGGGAGCAAACAGG
rnacentral:rRNA from 1 species